AGCUCCAAUAGCGUAUAUUAAAGUUGUUGCAGUUAAAAGCUCGUAGUUGAAUAUCUGGCCGGUGCUGUUCUCGGCUCCCUGAGUCGGUUCAGCGCCUGGUCAUCCGUAUGGGAAACUAGCUCGACCUUCACUGGUCGGCUAGUGGAUCAUACACUUUACUUUGAAAAAAUUAGAGUGUUUCAGGCAGGCAAUUGCUUGGAUACUGUAGCAUGGAAUAAUGGAAUAGGACUUUGACCUAUUUGUUGGUUUCUCGAGGUCAAAGUAAUGAUUAAUAGGGACAGUUGGGGGCAUUCGUAUUUAAUUGUCAGAGGUGAAAUUCUUGGAUUUUUUAAAGACGAACUUAUGCGAAAGCAUUUGCCAAGGAUGUUUUCA
rnacentral:rRNA from 1 species